GACCCUAUCGUCUAGCCUGGUCAGGACAAGAGCUUUUCAAGCUCUCGACACGGGUUCGAAUCCCGUUAGGGUCA
rnacentral:tRNA from 1 species